CCCCCCACCCCCUUCUCCACCCCCGCGGACUAGGCAGAGGCCGCCCGCGGUCAGGCCAGGCCGGGUCCACUUGGGGGGCUCACGGUCUGCCCCGCUUUACACCCCGAGGAGGCCAGGCCCCUGUGUCCAAUCCGGAAGUCGCAGGGAAGUGGGGAGGUCAGGAUGGUGGCGCCCGCGGCUCGGGUCCUCCUCCGGGCAGUGCGCGCGGCUCUCGCUUCCACGGUCCCGGACCUGCUCUGCCUCCCGGCCCAAGGCUCCCCGCGUGGCCUCGCGUCUGGUCGCCUACCCCUCGCGGCCCGCUCCUCGCAGCAUGGACCUGGAUCCGGGGCGCCUUGGUUGCGAAUUGCCAGGAGGGCCCUGAGGUGAGCUUUCCGCCCCCAAAUCCUCAGGGCAACCCCCAGGGCCCUGAACGUUACGACUUUCCACUGUUGGGAAUGCCGCCAGGGCUUCACCUAAGACAACGCCGUCCCCUAAAGAGUUUUAUUUUAUUUUGUUUUUCUAAGUUGACUCCUCUUUCGGAUUUGUGUUGUCAAAACACUGGGGGGAUGAUUGUUACCCGACAAACUGCCUCUGGCAGGACCUGAAGCCUCCCCGUCACCUCGGGAACGGGCAGGAGCUCAGGCUGGCGCCUCCGGUGCAGUGGCAUUACAGGUAGCUCAGGUGACGCGCGGCUGGAGUUGGGGGGCAGUUGCCUUGUAGGCUCAGAAUCGAGGCGGUUGGCGAGGGUCCCUGGGACCCUAGCUUCCUAGAACCCGCUCCCCAUCACGCUUCUUCAUCCCUUUUCCACUCGGGGAUGGCCGAAGAGGGCGUCUGACGGCCCACUCCGAAGGGUCACCUAUGGGGGGCGCUCAGGGGGAUGGAAGAGUGUCAGGUGUGUGCUGGCCUAUUGGAAGCACCCACCCAACAGGUGCCUCUAUCCUCGGAAGCCGUCUCGGGUGGGUGCGGUGGAGGAGAGAGAGCGCCGUGGCCUGGGGCGGGCCUCAGUUUAGGCCUGCAACCGACUCCUGCACCCCCGCUGGCCCUGCAGCCUGCGGAGCGGCCUUGGUGAUCUCAGGACGCAGGGCAUGUUGCGGCCUCCCCGUGGUGCAGCUGCAGCGGCGCGGAGGGAGCGGAGCUCGGUUUACCAGCCUGGUCCAGGGGGCAAGAGAAACACUCACGGCAUCAGGCUGUCUUUCCCCAGGUGCACGGGAACCAGUUGCAAACUGCAGUGCUGGGCUUGAGGAUGGCUCCUCCUGAGCCGGCAGGCAGGGCGACUCUCCCGGUAGGCGCGAUCCAGGCAUGUUACCCCUCCCGCCAGGAGCUCCCGAGCCAAGCCAGUCGCCCCCUAUUAGUUCUCCCACCCACCCCUUGGCCCACACUGCUCCCCCACCGCUCUUCCUACAAACCACACCCCCAUCCUGCACGCAUCCUCUCCAGGUCAUCUCAGCACACGCACACGCACACACACCCACGACCACCGCUCCCUCCACCCACAGACUCCCCGUUCCCACAGGCUGGGGCUCCUGCAACGACCCAGCAGGGGGGUUUCAACCAUGCUGCGAGUCCACCUGGGACAUCCUAAUUCAGCUCAGCGCAGAUACUUUUAUUCAAUUACUAGAGAGUUGAAAAACAGAUAGAGGAAGCAGCGGGGUUGGGCAAGCCGUCGACAGUCUGCGACAUUUUUGCCGCUUCCUGGGAGGGAAUUCCUCCAAGAAGAGGGGUAAAUGAGAGGCCCACACGCUGGAUAGCAAACACAAACACUGGCAGAUCAGAUGGCAGCUUUUAGGGUUCUUUUCCGAUCAGAUCAGUUUAAAUGAAAAAAAAAAAAAUCGAGUGUAAUUUUUAUCACCAGGGAGGACUGGCCUGGAGUAUUUCCAUUUCUAAAGAGCGGUUCCCGCUGUGGUUUCAUUAGCAUUUGGGGCUCAUCCUCCCUCCCCCUCCCUUGACACCCCCGGGCCUGACCUCUUCCAGGGACAGAAGAGAAAACAGCCAGUUAUUACAAAAACAUCCUCAGUUUGGAGCUGGAGUGUCUGCUUUGGAUACAGUCGAUUCUGACAUCAAUUAAAUAUAUAACCAGACACGUGCAGUGACCGGGAGGGUCCCCUCACCCAGGGUGCAUCUCCAGAAACGCCGCCUCCCCUUCCCCUCUCUUUAGCUCAGUGUUGAGAGUUUGAAGAUGGGCUCUUCCCGUCCUGUGUGUAUUUUCCCCGCAGCAAUUAUACUCCUCCACUGAAAUCUAAAUUUUCCACACCGUUGCUGCCUGUUACUAAUAAAAACCGUCUACCUUGCACUAUUAAACAGUCGACUCUUACUACAUGCCGUUUUUAUUGGUAGUGACUGUAGCAAAUUAAAAUGCCUACGCAGGGACAUUAAAAACUUACACUCGUCAUUGCUAUUGGAAUAUAUAAACUCCGUUUUGCUUUAAAGUUCUCAGAUACUAAAGAAAAAAAAUUAUUUUCCUCCUUAAGUUAAAAUUGGCUUGGUCUUCUUCUUCUUCUUUAAAAAAAAAAAUCAAUCAGGAGAAAACAUGCUGCCAGCCUGGAGUCUUGGCACGGCGGUCCCGGCGAGGCUGCUUGAGAGGGUGGCGGGCUCAGCCUGGACUCGGUCUCGGGGCCACGAGGGCCGCAAGGCCGCGGCUCGGGAACAGGAGGGCCUGGGAUGUUUUGCUCAAGGGUGAAGGGGGUGCUCAGACCUGUGUGGUCGCUGGGGAGGGCCGGGCACUGGGCUUCUGCGGUUUUUCAGCUGCCAUUCGAGCUGGAAGGAGGGAAUGAGCAGGCACGCAGGGGAAACCGAGUAACUGCUUUGAAAACGCGACCCCUGGCCACAGUAACCCAGGCGACGUGCAGUUUCAGCCAAGGAAUUUAGAACGAGUCCACGUGGACACGCAAGUCUCAGCGAGUGGGGAUUUCCUGCGAGGCCGAGCGCGAGGACAAGCCGGCCUCGGAGGCUCGGGCUCGGGCUCGGGGUCUCCCCGGGAACGCGGCCGGCCGAGAAGGUCGGGGCGCUCGCCGGGCUCGGCGCAGUCCUGCGUGUCGCUGGGACGAAGGAGCCGACGCAGGCCAGGAGUGGUGCGCGCGGGCGGCGAGGGGGCGCUGUGGCCCGUGUCUGCCGGCCUGAGUCCUGGCAACGGUGGGCGCGACCCACCUCCUCCCACGGCGGCUUAAUUCGGGGAAGAAGAAAAAACGGCAUCAAGGCAUUUCAAUAAAACUUAAGCGGUUCCUGA